GCUGUUAUAUCCUGUGAACUCUGCCCCUCUCAUCUAUUUUCUCUCCUCCCCAGUUAGAACAACAGUGAGACUGACUAAUACAGGCAGCAGCACUGGAGAGCCAUGCAGGCAAAGUUAAGACAGGGCCUGUGAACAACAGUGAGACUGACUACCAAAGAAGGCAGCACUGGACAGCUAUUCAGGCGAAGGAAGGCCAUAAAGAUCAUCGAGGACAACAACCACCCGAGCCACUGCCUG